rnacentral:rRNA from 1 species
AUUGAACGCUGGCGGCAGGCCUAACACAUGCAAGUCGAGCGGAUGAAGGGAGCUUGCUCCUGGAUUCAGCGGCGGACGGGUGAGUAAUGCCUAGGAAUCUGCCCGGUAGUGGGGGAUAACGUCCGGAAACGGGCGCUAAUACCGCAUACGUCCUGAGGGAGAAAGUGGGGGAUCUUCGGACCUCACGCUAUCAGAUGAGCCUAGGUCGGAUUAGCUAGUUGGUGGGGUAAAGGCCUACCAAGGCGACGAUCCGUAACUGGUCUGAGAGGAUGAUCAGUCACACUGGAACUGAGACACGGUCCAGACUCCUACGGGAGGCAGCAGUGGGGAAUAUUGGACAAUGGGCGAAGGCCUGAUCCAGCCAUGCCGCGUGUGUGAAGAAGGUCUUCGGAUUGUAAAGCACUUUAAGUUGGGAGGAAGGGCAGUAAGUUAAUACCUUGCUGUUUUGACGUUACCAACAGAAUAAGCACCGGCUAACUUCGU